rnacentral:tRNA from 1 species
GAGGGUAUAGCUCAGUGGUAGAGUGCAUGCAUAGCAUGCAUGAGGUCCUGGGUUCAAUCCCCAGCACCUCCU